UUUGAUCCUGGAUCAGGAUGAACGCUGGCGGCGUGCCUAAUACAUGCAAGUCGAGCGAACAGAUAAGGAGCUUGCUCCUUUGACGUUAGCGGCGGACGGGUGAGUAACACGUGGGUAACCUACCUAUAAGACUGGAAUAACUCCGGGAAACCGGGGCUAAUGCAGGAUAACAUGUUGAACCGCAUGGUUCUACAGUGAAAGGCGGCUUUGCUGUCACUUAUAGAUGGACCCGCGCCGUAUUAGCUAGUUGGUGAGGUAACGGCUCACCAAGGCAACGAUACGUAGCCGACCUGAGAGGGUGAUCGGCCACACUGGAACUGAGACACGGUCCAGACUCCUACGGGAGGCAGCAGUAGGGAAUCUUCCGCAAUGGGCGAAAGCCUGACGGAGCAACGCCGCGUGAGUGAUGAAGGUCUUCGGAUCGUAAAACUCUGUUAUUAGGGAAGAACAAAUGCGUAAGUAACUGUGCGCGUCUUGACGGUACCUAAUCAGAAAGCCACGGCUAACUACGUGCCAGCAGCCGCGGUAAUACGUAGGUGGCAAGCGUUAUCCGGAAUUAUUGGGCGUAAAGCGCGCGUAGGCGGUUUUUUAAGUCUGAUGUGAAAGCCCACGGCUCAACCGUGGAGGGUCAUUGGAAACUGAAAAACUUGAGUGCAGAAGAGGAAAGUGGAAUUCCAUGUGUAGCGGUGAAAUGCGCAGAGAUAUGGAGGAACACCAGUGGCGAAGGCGACUUUCUGGUCUGUAACUGACGCUGAUGUGCGAAAGCGUGGGGAUCAAACAGGAUUAGAUACCCUGGUAGUCCACGCCGUAAACGAUGAGUGCUAAGUGUUAGGGGGUUCCGCCCCUUAGUGCUGCAGCUAACGCAUUAAGCACUCCGCCUGGGGAGUACGGCCGCAAGGCUUAAACUCAAAGGAAUUGACGGGGACCCGCACAAGCGGUGGAGCAUGUGGUUUAAUUCGAAGCAACGCGAAGAACCUUACCAAAUCUUGACAUCCUUUGACCGCUCUAGAGAUAGAGUCUUCCCCUUCGGGGGACAAAGUGACAGGUGGUGCAUGGUUGUCGUCAGCUCGUGUCGUGAGAUGUUGGGUUAAGUCCCGCAACGAGCGCAACCCUUAAGCUUAGUUGCCAUCAUUCAGUUGGGCACUCUAAGUUGACUGCCGGUGACAAACCGGAGGAAGGUGGGGAUGACGUCAAAUCAUCAUGCCCCUUAUGAUUUGGGCUACACACGUGCUACAAUGGACAAUACAAAGGGCGGCGAAACCGCGAGGUCAAGCAAAUCCCAUAAAGUUGUUCUCAGUUCGGAUUGUAGUCUGCAACUCGACUACAUGAAGCUGGAAUCGCUAGUAAUCGUAGAUCAGCAUGCUACGGUGAAUACGUUCCCGGGUCUUGUACACACCGCCCGUCACACCACGAGAGUUUGUAACACCCGAAGUCGGUAGAGUAACCUUUUGGAGCUAGCCGCCGAAGGUGGGACAAAUGAUUGGGGUGAAGUCGUAACAAGGUAGCCGUAUCGGAAGGUUCGGCUGGAUCAGAUCUUAAAGGGCGAUUCGCGGCCGUAAUUCAUCG
rnacentral:rRNA from 1 species